UACAGAGGUCCCGAGCGUUGUUCGGAUUCACGUGGCGUAAAGGGUGCUAGGUGGUGAGGUAAGUCGGAUGUGAAAUCUCCGGGCUCAACCCGGAAAUGGCAUUGGAAACUACCUUGCUGGAGGAUUUGAGGGGGAUUGGAAUACUUGGUGUAGCAGUGAAAUGCGUAGAUAUCAAGUGGAACACCAGUGGCGAAGGCGAAUCC
rnacentral:rRNA from 1 species